UGUUUCCUGCAAACAAGCAUACAAACCAGAAGAUUCAUUAUUAUGCAGAAAGCUAGUCUAUUCUUCUAUGACAUAACUUGUUGGAAAUCUGCAGUAGAUAUUAUAUGUCAAUCAGUGUGAGAUCUGCAGCCUGCUAUACCAGGCAUUUCUUGCAUCACAAGAUGAUUUGUACAGCUGUUACCUUAAAAUGGAGUUUUACUUUAAAAAUUAUCAAUUCACAGUGCAAGAUACACAUGGAGAUCCUGUCCUCCAAUAUCCAACCAGAAGACCUAAAUAGCUGCAGUAUCCAUUAUGUUCAGGAGUGAAAUGAGCAAGGUUUGCAGUAGUUUAGCAAGUUGGUACUUUCCCCUGGAAUUCAUUCCAUACUCCAGAAUUUCAGCUUCCAUGAAAAUAUUAGCCCUUAUGCUUGCAAAGCUAGAUCAGCUUGCAAAUGAGAACUGGAUGGAAAGUGAUGGCAGUGUAUGUGGGAUUCUGGAGACAACCAGAAACAAUAGCCCUGAGAACCAUGAACACCCCCAUUCAUCUUGAUGGAUUUUUGAUGCUGAAGCCUAAAAAUUUAAAAUACCAAUAUUCUUAUCAACUACUUCAUUUUUGAUCAAAGCAUGUAAGAUCAUAAUAUUGCUAGUAAAUGUUAAUCUUUUAUUAUUCCUUUGAAUAUUAAACUCAUGAUUCUUUGGCCAAACAUCCCAGAAACAUUUCUGUGUUAGCCAAAAAGCUGUGUAAACUCUAAUGCUAAAAGAGUGCUUUGUUUUAAACUAAUGAAUGUCUGUAAUCAAUAGUAGCAUUGUAUUUAAUUAUCCGCUCUGCUUUUUACCCUGAUCUUGCUAACCUAGUACAGAUGUCCAGGAAGGACUUCUAAUAAUUAACAAAGGAUGCUUAUAAAUAUGCACUGUAAUUGAGAAGAUAUUAGUAAUAGACAAACUGGACAAGGAACAUUUGUUAUAACAGAUGUGUUCUACAAUCAAUGCAACAGCAAACCACUGAGUAGUGUAUUGAUUAAAUGUCUAAAUUAUUAAGAGCUAAUUAUGGUCACAAAUGGUCUCAGUAGUAAUAAAUUAGUUAUCAAUGUAAUUUACUUAUUGAUUAGGUAAGUUCAGAAUAUUCAAAAUAGAACAUGAGAAAGGAUAUUUCAGCAGUGCUAGCCCUAAGAAAGAAAAAUUUUGAAGGAUUUUUUUUGAUCCAAACCAGUAUAUAAGGGAUGAAUAUGGGGGACUGAGUAAGAAGUGAAAUGAGAUGCCAAAUUUCCCCAGUCGCAGACUGAUACGUAUGUUUUCAUUUCUGUAUAGUGUUGUAUUAAGUAUUGAUUGAUUGUCUUACUUAAAUAAAACUUCAACUGAGUUGGUUAUUU